CCUGUAACUCAUGUUUCAGCCAGAGAGGGAUCAGCCCUCCCCCAUGGCUAUCACCACUGACUCCUUUGCAGUACCUAGAGCAGAAUCCCGUCCAUGUUGCUACAGGAGAUGUUAGCUGUUGGGGACUGACUAUUGAUGAGGCCCCUCUGAACUAGGGGAAACUUGGGAGCAUGACUUUGGGCAUCUCUUCCUCAGUCUCAGUUUUAGGGAAAAAGGCAGGCACUGAAACCAACAAAAUGGCAAAGACGUUUUGACUGGUGGAGAAGAAAGUGGCUUACUCUGUUUGUCUUCAAUUGGCAGGAUGGAGAAAAUCAAAGCAAAGCAAAAGAAAAUUAGUGCUCUGCAGAGAGCCUGCAGGAGUUCUGACAAUUUGGCCGUUAGCUCGAACUGCCUGCCCAGAGAGGAAGCUGCGAGAAGGGCCUUCAUAAAAGGGGGUCCCCAAGACCCAGAAUCCAGGAAGAGAUGGAGCCUACUCAGGAAAUUCCCAUUCAGCCAAAAGCAACUCAGCCAAGGGAUGCUGAAGAAACAGCUGGAGAAAGCCAGGAAGCAGGUCGUUAAAAGGUAAUUAAGAGA
rnacentral:lncRNA from 1 species